rnacentral:rRNA from 1 species
UACGAAGGGGGCUAGCGUUGUUCGGAAUUACUGGGCGUAAAGGGCGCGUAGGCGGACGCGUAAGUCAGGGGUGAAAUCCCGGGGCUCAACCUCGGAACUGCCUCUGAUACUGCCAGUCUAGAGUCCGGAAGAGGUGGGUGGAAUUCCUAGUGUAGAGGUGAAAUUCGCAGAUAUUAGGAAGAACACCGGUGGCGAAGGCGGCCCACUGGUCCGGUACUGACGCUGAGGUGCGAAAGCGUGGGGAGCAAACAGG